AGAAGCCAAGAAAGUUGCUGCAGGCUUGGUUUUAAGUAUCAGGUGGAAGAGGUCACAGCAUUAAGACUAUAAAUGCACCUCAGCCAGUGGCAGAAAAAGCUGAUCUUUCCACAAAAAGGUGCAUAAGAGCCCUGCCAGCUGGGGACAUGUGUGUCCCUUGGUGUCACAAGCUCACCUUCUGCAAUGGUUAAUACCUGCCAAGCCUCUGCUUUUAUAACUAGGGUGGGUCCUUAGCUGACAGGCAGCCAGAGCCCUGCUGCCAUGUGCAGGUGGAUUCCCUGCACCCCGGGAUUCCCUGCCCCCUUUCUAGGCUCCAACACCGGGGACAGCGUGGGACGAGCUGCAGGGGAGGGAGGCACCAGGGGGACACCAUCCUGAGGCAGCUCCCAGGGAACAAACCUGCUCGGGAGGCAGCAGCUGGAGAUUAAAGGCACGCGGGUACUUUACUCCUUGGGGAGCUUUUCCAAGGACACCAUCAGAGUUCAGGAGCUCUCGAUUCAGUCGUUGAGGCGUGAUAAGUUAGUCAGCACUCACCGGGCUGGAACGACUGCAUUCAAUUAGUUUUUAAUUACUCUCUCUGGAGCUCAGAAGAGCACAAAGGUAACUGGAAGUCAGGGUCAGAGCACCGCGAGCAAGGACACUUAAUCUCUUGAAACCUAAAACCUCCAUUAAGGAAAAAGGAUGCUAAUUGAGUAUAAUUUUAUAGCUUGAGUAUAUCAAUAUUAAACAAUACUUAAUGCUGCUGUUGCAUUUUUCAUUGAAGAAUUAAUAAAUGCCUGAAACACAA